rnacentral:lncRNA from 1 species
AUCAGACGCUGUGUUCUAGGCAAGGGGGAUACACCUGAUGGAAGAAGGUCCUUCCCUAGACGUAGCUAACAUCCCAGUGUGGGAGAUGACACGAAACAAACUAGAUACUGCUCCUGGAGGCCUGGGUGUGACCGUGACGUAGACUCUGGAGCCACAGGAUAGACCAGUGACCUCAUUUUUCUUGCCAGGUGAGGCCUCCAGCCCAAGCUCAGCCAUCAUAUCCCCUGUGACCUGCAUGAAUACAUCCAGAUGGCCUGAAGCAAGUGAAGAAUCACAAAAGAAGUGAAAAUGGCCGGUGCCUGCCUUAAUUGAUGACACUCCACCAUUGUGAUUUAUUCCUGCCCCACCUUAACUGGGUGAUUAACCUUGUGAAAUUCCUUCUCCUGCCUCAGAAGCUCCCGCACUGAGCACCUUGUGACCCCCACCCCUGCCCACAAGAGAAAAACACCCUUUGACUGUAAUUUUCCACUACCCACCCAAAUCCUAUGAAAUGGCCUCACCCCUAUCUCCCUUUGCUGACUCUCUUUUCAGACUCAGCCUGCCUGCACCCAGGUGAUUAAAAAGCUUUAUUGCUCACA